UCGUAUUAGGAGUGGGGGAGCAUAAGAUACUCUUGUAUAAUCUAAAAUGUUGUUUCAUAUAAUUUAGUAUUUAAUAUUUAUAUAUUUUUUGCGAAGCUUGUACGGGAUGUUUUAAGGUGAACUUUUUCAUCGGCGCCUUCUUGCCCUGGCCACAUAGAUGCAUACGACCGCGUUCGACCGUAUACGAAAUUAUAGUGACUUCUGGUAGUGCCAAUGGCAGAAACGUCGUGUGAAAAGUCUGUCAAUACUGAAUAAACCUGCACUCCCAUCGGUAAAUUCGAGCUUCAGAGAGACUUUUUCGAGGUUAAUAUAUACAAGUAUACAUCAGUUUUGGAGCAAUAACAAAACUAUAAAUUAUAGAAGUAUUGAGUCCUGCAUACAAGUACUUAAAGAAAACAGGCAACUUUAAAAUGGAUCACUAUGAGAUUGUAAGAGAGAUUGCUGAAUUAGGCCAUGCAUAUAUUGAAUAUAAUGAAAUUAUAAGAAGAAGAAGAAGGUUAAGACGCUGGUGGAGUAAACCUUUGAUUCGGCAUAAUUACUUAACUGGAUAUGGCAGUUAUAGAUCUGUUUUUACUUACUUUAAAUUGAAUGAUGAGGAGGAAUUCAUACAGUUUACUCGUAUGAAUGUUCAAGCAUUCGAUUAUUUAUACACUUUAGUCCAUGCAGCAUUGAUUAAAAGAAGUAUAAGGCCUGCUCUCCCUCCAGAGUUACGCCUCAGUUUAACGCUAAAUUACUUAGCACACGGUGAUUCCAUAAUUAAGCAUAAAUGGUUUUAUUCCAUUGGGAUGUCAACGACAAAAAGUAUUGUACCAGAAGUAUGCAAUGUAGGGAAACGGUAGCAAGAAACGCGGAAAUCCUCAUAAAAGCGGUGGAGUAUACAGGGUUAGAAGAGUCAAUGUACGUAAAGUGAAAUUAUAAUACAAAAUAAUAUAAAAAAAAAAUAUAUAUAUAUAUGUUAUGUUCUAGGAGUCAAUGUGAUGUAUUAAGAAAUCCAUAAGGAAUGAGGAUUGUUACAGUUAACAUUUUUAUCAGAAAUAAACACCUUCCAAGGGAAAUUUGCCUACCAGCCAAUCAGCUACAUUUUUUAAUGAAAUUAUAUAAUAAUAAUGUAAUAAUUAAUUGAAAGAAAAAUGUGUAACAUUGCAGUG